rnacentral:rRNA from 1 species
AUUGAACGCUGGCGGCAGGCCUAACACAUGCAAGUCGAGCGGAUGAGAAGAGCUUGCUCUUCGAUUCAGCGGCGGACGGGUGAGUAAUGCCUAGGAAUCUGCCUGGUAGUGGGGGACAACGUUUCGAAAGGAACGCUAAUACCGCAUACGUCCUACGGGAGAAAGCAGGGGACCUUCGGGCCUUGCGCUAUCAGAUGAGCCUAGGUCGGAUUAGCUUGUUGGUGAGGUAAUGGCUCACCAAGGCGACGAUCCGUAACUGGUCUGAGAGGAUGAUCAGUCACACUGGAACUGAGACACGGUCCAGACUCCUACGGGAGGCAGCAGUGGGGAAUAUUGGACAAUGGGCGAAAGCCUGAUCCAGCCAUGCCGCGUGUGUGAAGAAGGUCUUCGGAUUGUAAAGCACUUUAAGUUGGGAGGAAGGGCAGCUAGCGAAUACCUGGUUGUUUUGACGUUACCGACAGAAUAAGCACCGGCUAACUCUGUGCCAGCAGCCGCCGUAA